AGAGGAGUGUAAACUCUGUGAUGAAGAUGUUGAAAAUGUAAAGUUUCAGCUUCACCUCUGACUGUUACACAGCGCUGACACUGGAGACUCCUUCCUACACACGUUAUCAACGAUUACAUACGUUUUUUGAUCAGUUUAUGUGGAGCAUCCGUUCGCUGUGAACGAGCCGUUACUAUAGAAACGAUAACGUAUCAGCACGAGCGCAUUAAUAUAAACCUGCGCUACUAUCUGAUCUGCUGUUAUAGAGAACUAAUCACCACCUUCUGACCAAUCAGGAUCCAGAACUCUGCAGCGCCGUGGUGUAAAUGGAGCUAAAGAGAAAACAGGGUGUUUGGUAUCUAUUUGAAAAUAAAUGUUGGUGUAAGAAGAAGGUUUGGUUUGUGCUGAUGAGACUGAACUCUACAGCAGGGUUCAGUGUGUGUGAUUCUCUCGCCCUGCGUUUAUGCGCGUGUUUAGACCGAGCAGAACGGCGGCACGCUUUCAAUUACACGCUUGGUUUAGUGUGUACUACAGCAAUUACGCAUCAGGAUGGAGCAAGAUGGAGGCUGUUGGUCUAAAGCUGCGUUUAAACGCGACACAGCUCGCCAUUUUUACGUCUCAAAUUGCUUUUCGCACUUGGCUGCUUGGAGCGUCUUUAGCCAUUUUUUUUAAUCUAUGUCUAUCACACACACACACACACACACACACACACACACACACACACACACACACAGAUGUUAGCUAAUGCAUGACGUGAUCUACACGGAGCUCUGCUUUAUUCUAAAGCCCAUUAUCAGCCUCAGGUGAACAGACGAGUCACGCUCAUCAUAACCCAGUCUACACCAGAGUAAUAGAGCCACUUAUCAUGUGUGUGUGUGUGUGUGUGUGUGUGUGUGUGUGUGUGUGUGUGUGUGUGCGUGUGUGUGUGUGUGCUGAGUGCUGGUGUGUAUAAAAGCAUUUCCAUACGUAUGAAGGACAGAAAGAAGGAAAGAAAGAAUAUCAAUUAUAGAAAGAAUAAAGUCAUUGUUAAUAAAUCUCGUCCCUCUGUCACUUCCAGCACAACAAUUCCUUCUGAAAAUUUAGAUCAGAUGUGUGUGUGUGUGUGUGUGUGUGUGUGUGUGUGUGUGUGUGCACCAGGUGUAGGAGGUGUUCAGGAAGGCGAGCUGCAGUGGGCGUGGUCAGUGAGACAUGUGUGUGUGUGUGUGUGUGUGUGUGUGUGUGUGUGUGUGUGUGCACCAGGUGUAGGAGGUGUUCAGGAAGGCGAGCUGCAGUGGGCGUGGUCAGUGAGACGUGUGUGUGUGUGUGUGUGUGUGUGUGUGUGCACCAGGUGUAGGAGGUGUCCAGGAAGGCGAGCUGCAGUGGGCGUGGUCAGUGAGAUGAGUGUGUGUGUGUGUGUGUGUGUGUGUGUGUGUGCACCAGGUGUAGGAGGUAUCCAGGAAGGCGAACUGCAGUGGGCGUGGUCAGUGAAAUGAGUGUGUGUGUGUGUGUGUGUGUGUGUGUGUGCACCAGGUGUAGGAGGUAUCCAGGAAGGCGAGCUGCAGUGGGCGUGGUCAGUGAGACGAGUGUGUGUGUGUGUGUGUGUGUGUGUGCACCAGGUGUAGGAGGUGUCCAGGAAGGCGAGCUGCAGUGGGCGUGGUCAGUGAGACGGGCGUGCGUGAGCAGAGCGUCACUGAGACGCCGUCCGUCAGCCCGCAGGUAACACUGUGUUGGAGAAUAAUGAGGCGAUUUCACGGCAUGGAGAAGAUUUUAAUAACGUUCUCAUCCAGAAUGAUGUUCUUAAGGAGCAGGUUCCCUGAGGAGAACGUGGCUCUACUGAGAUAAUGACAUCGCGUGUCGUUAAUUAUUAAACAAACGAUGUUCAUACGGUCGAGACGGUAACACGAGUAACUGUCACAGCACCGAUGAGAAGAGUAAGAAGAUAAAAUCGCGAUCCUGUCUUUUCUGGUUUAUUUCAUUAUAUAGUCACAUUAGUGAAUAAAAAGAACACAAAAUAAUGACUAUUCAGUAAAUUACAGCCGGGUCCAUAAGUAUUUGGACAGUGACCCACUUUUAGUCCUGUUGCCCCUGCACACCAGCCCAGUGGAUCUGAAAUGAAGCAGUCGAGAUGUGAGUGAAGUGUCGACUUUCAGCUUUAAUUUAAUAUCAUAUUAACCGUUUAGGAAGUACAAGAUAGUUUUUUUUUUUUUUCAGAUUCCCUACAUUUACCCCGGCUCUAAAGUAAUUGGACAAUCAUAAAUAUUAAGGUUAUAUUUAAUACUUGGAUGCAAAUCUUUCGCAGUCAAUGUCGGCCUGAAAUCCGGAACACGUGGACGUCAUUAAAUGCCGAGUUUCCUCCCUCGAGAUGUUUUUCGGGUCUUUACUGCAGUCGCUGCUGGUUUGUGGGUUUUUCUGCCUUCAGUUUUGUCUUCGGUAAGUGAAAAGCAGCUCAGGUGGGUUGAGGCCGUACGUUUUGGGUCGUUAUCCGUCUGGACCGUGAAGCUCCGUCCUGGAGCAGGAUUUGACUGAAUCUGAGCAGAAAGUAAAGCUGUAUACGCUUCAGAAUUCAUCCCGCUCCUUCUAUCAGCAGUCAGAUCAUCGAUAAACACCAGUGAGAGAGUUCCACUGGCAGCCGUACACGCCCGUGCCGUGACACUUCCUCCACCAUGUUGGACAGAUGAUGUGGUAUGCUUUGGAUCAUGAAUCCUUCCUUUCCUUCUCCAUACUCUUCUCUUCCCAUUAUUCUAGUACAAGUUCAUCUUGCAUCAGAUCUGGUCUAAUCUAACCUUUCCGUUGUGGAGUGAUACCAGAGGUUUGCAUCUUGAGGUAAAUCAUCUGUAUUUACAUUCAUGAAGGUGUCUCUUGAUUGUAGACUUUGAGAGAUACACCUACCUCCUCCAGAGUCUUCUUGACCUGGCUAGAUGUUCUGAAGGAGCUUUUCUUCAACAAGGAAAGAAUUCUGCGAUCAUUGACUUUAGUUGUCUUCGAUGGUCUUGCAGGUCUUUUAUUGCCGCUGAGCUCGCCAGUGCGUCGCUUCUUUUUACGAAUGAACCAGAUUGCUGACGUGGCCACUGCUAAAGCGCCUGAUCGGUCUGUUUUGUUUUUUGAGCCUAAUGAUGGCCUCCUGCACCUGCACCGACACCUCUUCGGACCGCAUAUUCAAAGCUCCCAUGAACAGCUACCAAAUGCUUGGAAUCAACUCCAGACCUUUUAUCUCCUCGAUCGGUCAGGAAAUAAUGAAGAGGCCGCACCCGGUCACGAAACCGCUUAUCAGUCAACUGUCCAAUUACUUUUGAGCCUGUGAAAACGGAGGGACUCUGUAAAAAACCUAAACGGUUAAUGCAGUAUUUUUGUUCCACCAUCUUCAAAUCCAUUUAUUUCCUCAGAAUAAACGCUUUUGAAUUAAACCUCAGAUUUCUCUCAUACUUCCAGGAGGAGGCUAAAACAUUUCUCAUAACCAUUUUUAUGCGUCUUUACCAAGGGUGCCAAUAUUUCUGGACCUUAUGGUGUGUGUGUGUGUGUGUGUGUGUGUGUGUGUGUGUGUGUGUGUGUGUAGUUCUAUUUGCUGCUGGACCACAGAGCGUGUAACGAUGAAAAGAUGCUCCACGUGGUCGGUUCUCAGAGAAGAGGAGUGUGUCCAUGCUGCUCCAGAGAAACAGAUGAGAGUGUUGUCUCUGAAGACACUGGGACUCAGAAAACACUUGUGGAUUUUGCAGACACACCGGAGUCAUGUAUGAAGCCCAGCGUUAAUCUGAUCUCUCUGGACGACUCACACACAUCAUCUCUGAUCUGAACAUCUGCUGCCUGUGUGUGUGUGUGUGUGUGUGUGUGUGUGUGUGUGUGUGUGUGUGUGUGUGUGUGUGUAAGCAGAGAUCUAAUGUGAGUGAUCAUUAGGGUUUGGGCUGUGCUGAUGUUUGAGGGUGUGAGGGUAUACUGUGAUAAAGACAUCUAAAUGAUCACUAAUGACAAACGCACAUCAGUAUCCAGAGCUCAGACAGAACUACAGACAUACAGUGAAUUCCAUUAAUAUUGGCACCCUUGGUAAAUAUGAGCAAAGUAGGCUGUGAAAAAUUGUCUUUAUUGUUUAACCUUCUGAUCUUUUGUUCAAAAUUCAUGCUCUCAUAGAUAUCAAACAAUCGCAAACACAACACAGGUUUAUGCAAAAAAUAAAAAUUCUUUGUUAAAUAUAGGUGUGCAACAAUUAUUGGCACUUCAGUGAAUUCAUGUGCGAAAAUAUAUUUGAAGUAUUGAUAUUCAUUGAUAUUUAAAAAAUAAUAAUAAUUAAUACACCUGGUGACUAGGAACAGGAAAGUGUUCAACCGUGACUUCCUGUUUCACAGGGGUAUAAAUAUGAGGUAACACACAGGCCAAAUUCCCUUAGUCAUUCAUAACAAUGGGUAAGAGCGAGGAAUGUAGCUGUGAUGUGCGGCAAAAGGUUGUUGAGCUUCACACAAUGGGGCGUGUCUAUAAGAAAAUAGCACAAGCAUUGAAAACGCCCAUUUCACCAUCAGGGCAAUAAUGAAGAAGUUCCAGUCCACUGGAAAUGUUAUGAAUGG
ensembl:lncRNA